rnacentral:lncRNA from 1 species
GCACAGAAGACGAAGAGCUGGAAUAGAGCUCGCCUCGGCUCUGCUGGCCUUGGCUGCAGCUCUUCCAGAAACCCGGGGCGCCCACAGAAGAAUCUCUUACCUGGCUCUCUCUUCAGGGAUGACAUCAUCGGCUCACACCAGUCUUCCAGGACCACCUUCUGGAUGCCAAGGCUGCUGCUCGAGUACCUGCUGUGCACCUCUACCUCCUGAGCCAAGGAGCACGGAUUCCAGGAACCCACUACCAUACAGAGCAACUCCUUGUGGACCCCCCUGGGAUCAGGACAGCGAGGGACAAGCGACAAAGAGGAUCAUCAGUGGCCAGCUAGUUUCUCUGGGGUUCAAACCUUGAACCAGUGCCCUAGUGAGGGGGCACUGGCCAUGGCCCUUGACCUUUGCUCUGCUUGUGUCUUGAGUCUGAGCCCUUUCCUGUACAUCUGUGCUCGUGUUCAUCUGCUAGUGAACUGGAGUGCUGCCCUCCCCGAGGAGGGUCGUCCCUUGUGACUGAUCAUGCUGUCCUAACAAUGUCCUGAGCAAAAGGGUCCCUUUGGGAACCUCUCAGGAGGGGGACCCGGGUCAGGGGCGACCAGCAUCUUGCUGGCAACUCCGUGGGUGGGGUGGGGUGGGGUGCUUCCUUCUGGAAUGAGCACGUGGCUGACCCCCCAAGGCAUGUCCCCUCCCCCUCCUCCACCCACCUUCUCGGAGAUGUCCCUUUUGGGGUAGUGGGGACAUUAGGAGCAACCUCCUAGGGUUGUUGUGAGAAUUAAAUGAACUGCAGCAGCCUGAGGCAGGGCUGGGCAGAGACCUCAGCACAUGUUUGUUGAAAGGUUUGCAGGUGGAUCUAGUCCUCCCGUUCAUGGCUCAUGUGUCUCAACCAUUCUCUCGCAGACUCCUGCAGCCCCUAUGCCCAGGGCUCUCCUUGCGCCAGCCCCGGCUUCUCGAGGCCUGUCUACACUCGCUGCUUUCCUUCCUCACCUCCAAUUUCCCCUCCAACCCACUGCUUCCUGACUCGCUCUUCUCCAUCGAACGGCUCUCGCUCAGGCCUGUCGCGUCUUCCUGUGCCAUUUGCUGUUGUGCUCAGGUUCCACGAGCUGCCCAUCUCCACAGAAGAGCAGCUGGCAUUGCCCACCGGCCAUGCCGGCUGAAGAAAAGAAGACUGAGGACCCCAGGAUGCCCAGCGCGAGGACCCCAGGAAGCCCAGCGCGAGGACUCCACCCACGACGCCCAGCGCGAGGACUUCACGCACAACACGUUGCAACCCUCCUGGAUUAGGCCUCUACAGCCACGGGGACGCCUUGCACAUUUCCUGUGGGACAUGCUGGACCCAAGACUCUGGACCCUGGCCUCCCCUUGAGUAGAGAGACCCACCUACUGACUGAUGAACUGCGCUGACCCUGGGGUCAGGCAUGUGGCCUUGAUCCCUACCCAUGGACCCUGAGACUUGGGGGGGUGGGAGAAAGGCUGUUGUGUCUUCACUGUUGAGUCUACAUCUGUGAAAUGGGCUCAGGUUCCUACCUCACAGGGCUGUUGUGAGGCAGCCGCAAUGUGCUUAGAAGCAUGGGGCCUAGUGGCUCAUGGUGCUUUCAAUAAAUUUCUUGUUUUAACUAAAGCA